CAAAGGAAACCAUGUCUCUCUGGCCAUGCCUUCUCCUCUGGACAGCUUCACUAGCAGGUGUCCAAUCUGAAGUCCAGCUUGUCCAAUCUGAUCCUGAAAUCAAAAGGCCUGGAGAGUCAGUGAGACUGACAUGUAAGGCAUCUGGAUAUACAUUUACCAGCUAUUAUAUGAAUUGGAUCAGACAGGCACCAGGAAAAGGACUGGAGUGGGUAGGUAGGAUUAACCCAUUGAGCUUGCAGACAAACUACCCAAAGAGUCUUGAAGGUCGAGUCACCAUCACUGUGGAGACUUCCAUCAGCACCAGUUAUCUGCAGCUGACUGGCUUAAGAGCUGAAGACACAGCUACAUAUUACUGUGCAAGAGAGACACAGUGGAUAAAGCCAAAUGAUACAAAUACAUAUUCUUAUUUCCAUUCUUUAAAACAAACUGUACCGGGUCUCACAAUCAGUGAGACCCGGUUCAGCAGGGUGCGUGGGGGCCUGGCCCUAUUAAUAGUGCAGGGCAAUUUCCAGUCCUCAUGGAAGUGGGCAGUAGAUAAUAAGGUGGCACUGUUGGGCUUCUUCCCAUCUCACCUCCUUGCUAUGGGCAGUGACAAGGUGAAAGCAGCCACCAAACAGAGGAUCCUGGAUAUGGAACUCCAGGUGGCUCUAAGGUUGUGA